CAGCAGUGGGGAAUAUUGCACAAUGGGGGAAACCCUGAUGCAGCGACGCCGCGUGGAGGAAGAAGGUCUUCGGAUUGUAAACUCCUGUUGUUGAGGAAGAUAAUGACGGUACUCAACAAGGAAGUGACGGCUAACUACGUGCCAGCAGCCGCGGUAAAACGUAGGUCACAAGCGUUGUCCGGAAUUACUGGGUGUAAAGGGAGCGCAGGCGGGAAGACAAGUUGGAAGUGAAAUCUAUGGGCUCAACCCAUAAACUGCUUUCAAAACUGUUUUUCUUGAGUAGUGCAGAGGUAGGCGGAAUUCCCGGUGUAGCGGUGGAAUGCGUAGAUAUCGGGAGGAACACCAGUGGCGAAGGCGGCCUACUGGGCACCAACUGACGCUGAGGCUCGAAAGUGUGGGUAGCAAACAGGAUUAGAUACCCUGGUAGUCCACACCGUAAACGAUGAUUACUAGGUGUUGGAGGAUUGACCCCUUCAGUGCCGCAGUUAACACAAUAAGUAAUCCACCUGGGGAGUACGACCGCAAGGUUGAAACUCAAAGGAAUUGACGGGGGCCCGCACAAGCAGUGGAGUAUGUGGUUUAAUUCGACGCAACGCGAAGAACCUUACCAAGUCUUGACAUCCCUUGACGGACAUAGAAAUAUGUUUUCUCUUCGGAGCAAGGAGACAGGUGGUGCAUGGUUGUCGUCAGCUCGUGUCGUGAGAUGUUGGGUUAAGUCCCGCAACGAGCGCAACCCUUAUGGUCAGUUACUACGCAAGAGGACUCUGGCCAGACUGCCGUUGACAAAACGGAGGAAGGUGGGGAUGACGUCAAAUCAUCAUGCCCUUUAUGACUUGGGCUACACACGUACUACAAUGGCGUUAAACAAAGAGAAGCAAGACCGCGAGGUGGAGCAAAACUCAGAAACAACGUCCCAGUUCGGACUGCAGGCUGCAACUCGCCUGCACGAAGUCGGAAUUGCUAGUAAUCGUGGAUCAGCAUGCCACGGUGAAUACGUUCCCGGGCCUUGUACACACCGCCCGUCACACCAUGAGAGCCGGGGGGACCCGAAGUCGGUAGUCUAACCGCAAGGAGGACGCCGCCGAAGGUAAAACUGGUGAUUGGGGUGAAGUCGUAACAAGGUAGCCGUAGGAGAACCUGCGGCUG
rnacentral:rRNA from 1 species